UAUAAGGAUUUGAAUAAGUGUUUUCUUGUUGGAUCUACAAAACUUCUUGUUAUAUUUACAUAAAUCGCAGCGCUCUGCAACAGUUUUGUCAUCACUCACUAAACGGUUGAUCAACUGUUCGCCGCAUUCAUUUGUUACACUGCUACUGCGCCCUCGCUACUCGCGGCGUGUAUCGCGCGCAUUAGAUCUUUCGCGAAGCAAUGGCGUUAAGCAGUCGGAACAGUCUCAACUGAGCUCGCUAAAGUUUUACGUCGCGUCGUGGAAUCCAUUACGGAAUAUUAGUUAGGCCGAUGACAGAGAACGAGAAGUCAAAUUCUGCGAAAAUAGUGAGAGAUUGCUUGAUGACCACCACAAACGGCGGCUACAAAACUGAGAUACGUACUUUUAUCGACAUACUCGAAAAAGACAGACAGCUACAACGCUGGGGCAGGCCGGUCCUCGACAGUUUGAUACGGUUUACGGUAAACACAUUUCGUUGGAAAUCACGUCAUGGGGCAAGCAAGCAGCAACAGCAAGCAAGCAAGCAAGCAAGUAAGACUAGUUGAACCGAAGAGUAGGUGAUGCUUCCUAGGUUGGGGAAGGUGCGCGAGUGGUCGCUGAAGAGCUCUUAGCCGACCCUUUGUUGCCCCUGCCAUCCCCACUUCUACUAUCACGCAAGGGACGACAGGAGGGAACCGCGGAGAUGGACAUAAAAAAAGCGAGGAAGCUGUGACAAUGGCAGAACCAGAAACCGCACAAAGACAGACAACUCUUUCGCGCGAUAAGAAACCUAGAGAGAGGGAAAGAAUAUCACCGAGUCGGUUCAGGCGUCCACCUUCGCCUUUGUUUUUCUCACGGAUCUAACGAGGAUUUACCGUUGCUACAAAGCACUACCUGCGUUCGCGACAGCCACCACCACCAUCAGCGGCGCGGCAUCGGUGUGAAAAUCUCUCGAUGGCGGGGAAAAACGCGGUUCCGGCAGGAGUCGCAAGAAUAAGGCAACGUCGCUGUCUCCCGCAGGAACCAAUUUAGACGAUGUCAGUUGUCAACACUCGGGAGUAACGGGUGGCCGAGAGAAAAAUCUCUCGAUUUAUCGGUGCGCUCAUCCGCCUCUGAAUCGCAUCGACAAUCUCGGCUGAUUCGAAAGUCUGCGGCGUGAGGAGAAACAAGUAGAAAAGGACGAUGAUCGCGUCCUAGCGCGGGGCGCGACGAGACGAAGGAAACCUUGAUAUAUCCGCCAAACACAAGGAGCCCGAACACCUCGGCGGGAUUUAUCGGGACUACGGAUAAUGGAUGGCUCCGCGCUGCUACUGGGGACGCUGCUUUUUUAAAUAAUACAACGCACAACGCUGAAAAAUGCCCGGCCGUUUCGCAUGCGAACGAUAAUCGCGGCUCCCCGAAUACAGCGGACAAAUAUAACGGAAAUAAUUGGAAAGAUUGUUAUGAAAAACCAUGUAAAUACUACAGAUACAUAAUUUUAUGAAUCGCAAUCUGAUAAAUUUAUCAGGUUGCCACAAAAUGGAAGA